UAGGGAAUCUUCGGCAAUGGGCGCAAGCCUGAUGCAGCAACGCCGCGUGAACGAUGAAGGUCUUCGGAUCGUAAAGUUCUGUUGCAGGGGAAGAUAAUGACGGUACCCUGUGAGGAAGCCCCGGCUAACUACGUGCCAGCAGCCGCGGUAAUACGUAGGGGGCUAGCGUUAUCCGGAUUUACUGGGCGUAAAGGGUGCGUAGGUGGUCUUUCAAGUCGGUGGUUAAAGGCUACGGCUCAACCGUAGUUAGCCUCCGAAACUGGAAGACUUGAGUGCAGGAGAGGAAAGUGGAAUUCCCAGUGUAGCGGUGAAAUGCGUAGAUAUUGGGAGGAACACCAGUAGCGAAGGCGGCUUUCUGGACUGCAACUGACACUGAGGCACGAAAGCGUGGGUAGCAAACAGG
rnacentral:rRNA from 1 species